AGCGAACGCUAGCGGGAUGCCUCAAACAUGCAAGUCGUACGCGAAAGGGACUUCGGUCCCAAGUAGAGUGGCGCACGGGUGAGUAACACGUAACUAACGUCCCUCCUCGCUGGGGACAACUCCGGGAAACCGGAGCUAAUACCGAAUAAUUUCACCGGGACUUCGGUCUUGGUGGGUAAAGCUUUACAGCGCGAGGAGAUCGGGUUGCGGCCUAUUAGCUAGUUGGUGGGGUAACGCCUACCAAGGCGACGAUAGGAGUCUGGUCUGAGAGGAUGAUCAGCCACACUGGGACUGACACACGGCCCAGACUCCCACGGGAGGGCAGCAGUUGGGAAUAUUGACAAUGGGGGAAACCCUGAUCCAGCAAUCCCGCGUGAAUGACGAAGGCCUUCGGUCGUAAG
rnacentral:rRNA from 1 species